rnacentral:rRNA from 1 species
CGGGGAAUAUUGCACAAUGGAGGGAACUCUGAUGCAGCGACGCCGCGUGAGUGAUGAAGGAAUUCGUUUCGUAAAACUCUGUUCUAUGGGAAGAAAAGGACUGUACCAUAGGAGAAAGCUCCGGCUAAAUACGUGCCAGCAGCCGCGGUAAUACGUAUGGAGCGAGCGUUGUCCGGAAUUAUUGGGCGUAAAGGGUGCGCAGGCGGCUUUACAAGUUGGAUGUGAAAUAUUGUGGCUCAACCACAAACGUGCAUCCAAAACUGCAAAGCUUGAGUUAAGGAGAGGUAAGUGGAAUUCCUGGUGUAGCGGUGGAAUGCGUAGAUAUCAGGAGGAAUACCGGUGGUGAAGGCGACUUACUGGACUUAAACUGACGCUCAGGCACGAAAGCGUGGGGAGCAAACAGG